rnacentral:rRNA from 1 species
AACGAACGCUGGCGGCGCGUUUUAAGCAUGCAGGUCGAACGGUAGAGAGGUGCUUGCACCUCUUGAGAGUGGCGAACGGGUGAGUAACGCGUAGGUGAUCUACCAUUUAGUUGGGGAUAGCUCAUGGAAACAUGGGGUAAUACCGAAUAAUCUUUAUCCUCUUGUGGAUAAAGGAAAGGGGCGUUUGCCUCGCUGAAUGAUGAGCCUGCGUAUGAUUAGCUAGUUGGUAGGGUAAUGGCUUACCAAGGCGACGAUCAUUAGCCGGCCUGAGAGGGUGACCGGCCACAUUGGGACUGAGACACGGCCCAG